rnacentral:rRNA from 1 species
UACGAGGGGGGCAAGCGUUGUUCGGAAUUAUUGGGCGUAAAGGGCGCGUAGGCGGCUUGCCAAGUCAGUGGUGAAAUCCUGCAGCUUAACUGCAGAAGUGCCUUUGAUACUGGCGAGCUCGAGGGAGGUAGGGGUAUGUGGAACUUCUGGUGGAGCGGUGAAAUGCGUUGAUAUCGUAAGGAACCCCAGUAGCGAAAGCGGCUUACUGGGCGUUUUCUGACGCUGAUGCACGAAAGCUAGGGGAGCGAACGGG